rnacentral:rRNA from 1 species
AUUGAACGCUAGCGGGAUGCUUUACACAUGCAAGUCGAACGAGUGGCGGACGGGUGAGUAAUAUAUCGGAACGGGCCCAGUAGCGGGGGAUCAAUACUCGAAAGAGUGGCUAAUAACGAAUACUAUUGGGGCGGCCGAUAUCGGAUUAGCUAGUUGGUGGGGUAAAGGAGCACCAAGGAAACGAGCCGUAGCUGGUUUGAGAGGACGACCAGCCACACUUGGACGGAGACACGGCCCAGACUCCUACGGGAGGCAGCAGUGGGGAAUUUUGGACAAGGGGGGAAACCCUGAUCCAGCCAUCCCGCGUGUAUGAGAAGGCCUUCGGGUUGUAAAGUACUUUUGGCAGAGAAGCGGUAUCUGCAGAAUAAGCACCGGCUAACUACGUGCCAGCCGCCGCGGUAAUUC